rnacentral:rRNA from 1 species
UCAAAAACAUGGCCUUUUGAUAAUAAUUUAAGGUCAGGCCUGCCCACUGAAAUUUAAAGGGCCGCGGUAAUUUGACCGUGCUAAGGUAGCAUAAUCAUUAGUUUCUUAAUUAGAAGCUAGAAUGAAGGGUUUGAUGAAAAAAUUACUGUCUCUAUUUAAUAAAUAUAGAACUUUAUUUUUAAGUUAGAAAGCUUAAAUUUAUUUAAAAGACGAGAAGACCCUAUAGAGUUUAAUAUUUUAAAAUUAAUAUUUUAUUGGAAUAAUAAUUUUUUAUUUUGAGAAAUAUUUGAUUGGGGUGAUUGAAAAAUUUAAUAAACUUUUUUUUAUUAUUAACCAUUGAUUUAUGAAUAUUUGAUCCAUUAUUAGUGAUUAUAAGAAAAAAUUACCUUAGGGAUAACAGCGUUAUUUUUUUUGAGAGUUCUUAUCGAAAGAAAAGAUUGCGACCUCGAUGUUGGAUUAAAAUUUAAUUUUGGUGUAGCAGCUAAAAAUAUUAGGUCUGUUCGACCUUUAAAAUUUUACAUGAUCUGA